rnacentral:lncRNA from 1 species
AUGAGCUACAGUGACCUCAGGGUCCCAACCCUGAGGUUUAAAAUGGGUAUAAAGAACUAUGAAAUUGUUCCCUACAGUUUUAUUUCUCCUAUAGACAGCCUGAAACAUGGUGACUGUAAAAACUUUAAGAGAGUUAGUGAAGCAUAAACUUCUAGCUUGAGCAUGUACUGAAACCGCUCAGAGCUGUCGGUUGACAAACCCUGACUGUGAUUCCUUGAUUACUUAGCAUUGAAAACACUCUUUUCUAGACAGGUCGGUAAGGAAAUCAGAUGGGUGUUGGCAAACAAAACAAAGCAAAAACAAAGAAACAAACAAAAACCCGGAAAAAAUGACAACAACAAAAACCAACACCAACAAAAAACUGUCGCAAAUGAAGAACAACAACUUGCUUUAAAAGCCUCACAGACUGGAAGGUGGCUUUGUUCCUCUCAUUUCUCCUCCAUGAAGGGAUUUGCCUAUGUUCCAAAGGCAAUUGAUCAUAACUGCAAUACAGUGGUUCAGUAACUCACGAAUGGUUAUUCCCUGUGCCCGACACAUCUUGUGGAAGACUGCAUAGCUGUAUAUGAUGAAACUAUAGGUCUCAUAGUCUAACUCAGAAAUUGUGGGCUGGUUCAUGGAGAUGCCAGUGGAUUCAGAUUUUAACACCACAAUGGAUUUCCACAAAUGGUUUCCACCUUGUAUUUAGAUGCCGAAUGGUAUUUUAAUAGAGUUGUUAAAUGCAUUAGAGAGUUCUUCAUGAAAGGUUUGAGCUAUGGGGGUGAGUUCUGCCCAACCUUUAGUGGCAUCAGGAAGGUUGGUUCUCUUGAUGUUGAUGUCUCUGUCCUUGGUUACACAAAGGAAAUGCAGGAAGACAGUGAGCUGCUACAUCUAGUAGUCCAGACAAUAAAAUGUCUGAAACAGCAGAGGAGUACGACUUCCGAUUUUCUGAUAAAGAGCUGUCAGAAAAGGCAAAGAUUUGGAGGCCAGAAAUGGAAAAUGAACCGACCCAGAAGUGAACCAGGUGGUUACUAUGACUGCUCAUCUGGAAACCUCAAGAGAAUGAGGAAGACGGUUUAUCAGGGGAAAGUGCUGACUACAGCAAUUUUGAAGUGACUGGAUUAGAUAGCGCAAGCUUGAGAGGGCAGGGCAGGCAGUUCCGUGACUGGGUUUUCUGGGGAGAGGAAGGGGACUGAAAAUGGCAUCAAGCAAUACAGGUGAGGGGUGGGGUGGGGGGCUGCAGGCUGUGAAGAGUAAGAGGAUGGAUGCCCUCAUCUCCUUGCCUUAUCGUCACUGGGCAAGUCUCGGCCUUUCAGAGAGAAAGGAGGAUGAGGACAAGGAACGCUGGUCAGCACACAACAGGAAGCUUGAGUGUGCCAUCUAGGGGCCCAAGCUUUUAACACUUCCUCCUCCAGAGCUGGUGAAGCCGCGGGUGAAAGGUUAGCUG